GACGAACGCUGGCGGCGUGCUUAACACAUGCAAGUCGUACGGUAAGGCCCUUUCGGGGGUACACGAGUGGCGAACGGGUGCGUAACACGUGAGUAACCUGCCCACAACUUUGGGAUAACGCUAGGAAACUGGUGCUAAUACUGGAUAUGUGCUCCUGCUGCAUGGUGGGGGUUGGAAAGCUCCGGCGGUUGUGGAUGGACUCGCGGCCUAUCUACUUGUUGGUGGGGUAGUGGCCUACCAAGGCGGCGACGGGUAGCCGUCCUGAGUGGGUGACCGGCCACAUUGAGACUGAGAUACGGCCCCGGCUCCUACUGGAGGCAGCGGUGGGGAAGAUUGCACAAUGGGCGCAAGCCUGAUGCAGCAACGCCGCGUGCGGGAUGACGGCCUUCGGGUUGUAGUCCGGUUUCAGCAGGGACGAAGCUUUUUGUGACGGUACCUGCAGAAGAAGCACCGGCUAACUACGUG
rnacentral:rRNA from 1 species